CAGAUUUCCUGGUGAACCUGCCUCUGUCUGAGUCAGUGUCAAUCCACCAUCUUCUGCCAGUGAACUUGUCUUUGGGUUUUUGUUUGGUGUGUGUGUGGGGGGGGAUGUUGUUGUGUGUGUGUGUAUGUGUGUGUGUGCUUUUUUUGGAAGGGGGGAGGGGAAAGACAAAGUGGGGGCCGGAGGUGGGGGGAAGAGUAGGGAGAAUGUGUGUCUGUGAGUGUGUGUUGAGUGUGAGUGUGUCUCUGUGUGUGUAGGGGUCGAGGUGGGGGGGGUCCGUGUUUGCGAUCUGAACCUUUGGUACCUACAAGGAGGGUGUCUCACCGAACGGUAGCUAAAACCUCACCAGAACCGCGCGGAAGUGAGAAGUCGCGGCCAAAGGCGCCCGCAGAAGCCUCCUCUCUGGGCCGGACCCCAGCCCGAGCGGCCGAAAGGAGCCCCCCGCCCGGAUCACAGAAGUUUACAAGGAAAGGGGAAAUGUCUGAAAUGGAGAUUGCACAAUCCUGUCUUGAAGCAGAAGACUCAGCUAGAGCACAUCUGGAAACACCUGGCACUCCUCAAUAGAAUUCAAAUGCUAUUUUAAAAGAGUCCAUUUCUAAGAAGAUGUGGUUCGAACAUACAGAGCUACAUAAUAUGAGUAAAAUAGGACCUAACAGUAGUGUUCUCCAGCAUUGCUCUGCCUUUCCUUUUCUGGAUGUAACAACAUUACUAAGAAAGGAAGAAAAAGCAAAAAUCUGCUCUCGGGGAGAUUCCAGAAUGUUGGAAAGCCCCAAAUGGAAGUCUCUGCUUUGGUUACAGGACAUAAGGUUUAAUAAAUAAAAAGAUGCUCAUCUGGGAUGCUGCACCAAUUAUCAUGUACUAAAUAAGGUUACCUACUUCACUCUCCAGGUAGAAAUGUCUAUCAUAAGCAUGUGCCACAGAAGGUCUCUCAAGUAUCAUUAUUGGCUGUGUUGAAUUUUGUUUUUAGUUCUCUUUUAUAAGGUCUGUAGUCUUACUUUCAGUGAGGAAGUGUUUUCUCAGGUUCUCAAGAAAGUAACAAAAUGCCAGCAUUGUCAAGGUCACCAUUGCCACUGAAUUAUCUUACUGUCUGAUUAUUCCAUCUUCCUCUGCAUCAUAUUAGCCUGAUGACUACAUUCUAAUUAUUUAAAGCGUUAUGUAAAUCAAAGCAGUAAAUGUAAUUUCUAGUCUUACUAGAUAUCAUGUACAUUAGGUCGAAUAACUCUAGAAAUGUCGUCAUAAUCAUGUCAUGCCUAAUGAUGACCUACUCAGCCCCUGCCAACAUCAUUCAAUUACUCAUUUCAGUAUUGAUUUUUCUCAUGCCUCUCUUCGUGGCAUUUAAACAGCCCUCACAUCUCCCCUUUUACUGAGGUGUAAUGUUGUAUAAUGACAGAGAUGCUUUGCUUCCCAGAUUCAUAAUGUUACACUCUGUUUCAAAUCCUUUUGGAGACAAAUUGGGGAAUCAAUAUAUAAAUAAUGACACACUUAUUUUUAAUUAAAAUCACUGCUUUCACAGAAAUGGUAUAUUAAAAUUAUUUUUGCUAAAAAAAUUUUAAAUACCUAUGUACGAUAAAAAGACUGCCAAUCCUUGGGAUCAAGAAUAUAAUUUGCCCCAAAUAACUUUUCUGUAAAAGUAGAAUUCUUAAUGGAAAAUAGAUUAAUACAUAUAAUUUCAAGAUCUAACCUUAAAAAUGGAAAUAAUGUGUCCAUUUUUAAAAAUAAAUCAUAUUUACAUACA
rnacentral:lncRNA from 10 species